GCCGGGUGCGGUAGCUCACACCUGUAAUCCCAGCACUUGGGAGGCCGAGGCAGGCGGAUCACCUGAGGUCAGGAAUUCAAGACCAGCCUGACCAACACGGUGAAACCCUGUCUCUG
ensembl:misc_RNA Metazoa_SRP Metazoan signal recognition particle RNA